UACGAAGGGGGCUAGCGUUGCUCGGAAUCACUGGGCGUAAAGGGUGCGUAGGCGGGUCUUUAAGUCAGGGGUGAAAUCCUGGAGCUCAACUCCAGAACUGCCUUUGAUACUGAGAAUCUUGAGUACGGGAGAGGUGAGUGGAACUGCGAGUGUAGAGGUGAAAUUCGUAGAUAUUCGCAAGAACACCAGUGGCGAAGGCGGCUCACUGGCCCGAUACUGACGCUGAGGCACGAAAGCGUGGGGAGCAAACAGG
rnacentral:rRNA from 1 species